UAGCUGAGCGGUAAAGCGCUUGGCUUCUGAACCGGGGGGCCCCGGGUUCGAAUCCUGG
rnacentral:tRNA from 1 species